CAAAGCCAGUUUUGCAGAACGUUGUCUAUAGGAGAGGUCUGCAUUAGAGGGCUGAGCUUCCAAAAAGGAAAAAAACUAUUUAGACAUUCCAAAAUUGGGGAUAUCGAGGUGCGGGGGGUCUGGCCAGCCUGAUACGUAAGAAUCUGCAGACUGAUGGGUGUCUACCCACGGGAGAUUUGUCAACAGGAGAGUGAGCUGUAGAAAUAGUGGAGCGAAAAAUGUUACUAGUAUUGUAAGACUUAGUCAAAGAGUGAAGAUAGGGAAUUAAUAACGGAAACUACAGGUGCUGAAAAAGGAUCAACAUCCCUUUCCACAAACCAGCUAUUCCAGACUUGCCAAGCGGAGAGGUAGGAACGUCGAGUUCCGGGAGCCCAUGAAUCCCAUAAUAAUCCUCUAGCAGUAUUCGAAAGUCCUGACAUGCCCCAAGAUCCCCUGAAACACUCCAAGCCACCAAGGGUAGAUGUGAAUGACGAUCAGAUGGAAUUCUCCUGUCGGGCCUCGAAGGAGAUCUGGAGAUCAAGGAAGGAGCAGGGGAUAAUUCACUGACAACCCCAAGAGGUUGGGAUACCAGGGUUGUGCUCUCCAUAGAUGAGUGAUUAUUAGUAGUAUUGUCACACCAAGAACUUGUGAGUUUCUGCAGGGUCCGAGGAAUGAGAAAAAAAGUGGGGAAAGGCAUAAAUUGAGGCCCAGGUUGGAGAAAUGCAUCGACGGCCUGAAAUGCUGGGUCUGGAAG